rnacentral:rRNA from 1 species
GCCCUUGAGGCGUGGCUUCCGGAGCUAACGCGUUAAGUCGACCGCCUGGGGAGUACGGCCGCAAGGUUAAAACUCAAAUGAAUUGACGGGGGCCCGCACAAGCGGUGGAGCAUGUGGUUUAAUUCGAUGCAACGCGAAGAACCUUACCUACUCUUGACAUCCAGAGAACUUAGCAGAGAUGCUUUGGUGCCUUCGGGAACUCUGAGACAGGUGCUGCAUGGCUGUCGUCAGCUCGUGUUGUGAAAUGUUGGGUUAAGUCCCGCAACGAGCGCAACCCUUAUCCUUUGUUGCCAGCGAUUCGGUCGGGAACUCAAAGGAGACUGCCAGUGAUAAACUGGAGGAAGGUGGGGAUGACGUCAAGUCAUCAUGGCCCUUACGAGUAGGGCUACACACGUGCUACAAUGGCAUAUACAAAGAGAAGCGACCUCGCGAGAGCAAGCGGACCUCAUAAAGUAUGUCGUAGUCCGGAUUGGAGUCUGCAACUCGACUCCAUGAAGUCGGAAUCGCUAGUAAUCGUGGAUCAGAAUGCCACGGUGAAUACGUUCCCGGGCCUUGUACACACCGCCCGUCACACCAUGGGAGUGGGUUGCAAAAGAAGUAGGUAGCUUAACCUUCGGGAGGGCGCUUACCACUUUGUGGUUCAUGACUGGGGUGAAGUCGUAACAAGGUAACCGUAGGGGAACCUGC